GAACCCUGACCCCUGAUGUGACAGCACGAGGAGGUGGUGCUGUGGGAGAAAGUGGGAGCAGAGGAAGUCAUGAGGGGAGCUUCCCCCGGGGUUAGAGAAAGAAGCCAGAGCUGGCUUUCCCCCUCGGGGCAGGAUGCAGCCAGGACGUUCCACCUGCAAGCCAGGAAGGAAGCGCACAGGACGAGGCUAGGAGAGACAGGAAGUGCAUGCUUUCCCACUGAACUUACAGGCUGGACCUGGACACCACACUUCCAGCACAGUCCUUGUGGCCCUCAAGGUGCUUUUGCGCUGUCUAUUGGAAGUCAGCAUGUUCUGUGA
rnacentral:lncRNA from 1 species